GAGAGAUGUUACAUGAGAAGGAGGCUUAAGCCCACCAUGGAUUCUCGCCAGUUCUGAAAUCGGUUUCGACCCAUGGGACAAACACUACCUUCCCGUCAUCUACAUCAGCAUGAACCAAUGCAAGAGACAAAGGUGCAGGUCCUCUGACCACCCUGCCUUGAUCGUUGUAUUGGGAUCCAUGGCAAGGGCAGAUGAAUUUGUUCUCAGCUGCAUUCCAUGGCACGACGCAUCCAAGGUGAGUGCAAACUGCAUUGAUUCCAUAUGUCGCAAGCGUUUUAUCCUUCUCGACUACAAGGUAGGUAGGGUCUCCCCUCAACCCCUGUGUGAGGGUUCGGUCUCCGGGGCCGUGUGCCUUUAGCCAUUCCUCUGCAAGAACAUCAUUUCCAAGAGCAUCCUUGGCAACAAUCCCACCACCGGCACCUCCAGUACCAGGAGGGACAAAGAAAUAGGUGUAAGGAUACAACAUAGUAGCAGUGGGAAGGCCAAUGGCACCCAAAAGAAGCAAAUUCAUGGUUUUCCUUUUACCCAUAUCCGGGACUCGAUCAGCUGGAAUACUAGUGGCUUGACAAGAGAUUUUAACCUCCUUUCCCUUUGCCCCCAUUUGAGUGUUUUUGGGUUUCCUCAAAAGGGCUUGAGAGGGACAGAACAAAGCACUUCUGCUGGCACAUAACUGUGAGGGAGUUGCAGAAGAUAGAGUGGAAGACGCCAUGGAUGGAUCAGAGCAAGGAGUGGAGAGGAAUUUUCUAAGAAACUAAAAUGUGGGUAAUGUUAUAUCAGUGGUUGGAGUAGAAAUUUGAGAGAUUGUUCGUGAAGUUGCUGAAUU
rnacentral:misc_RNA from 1 species